rnacentral:rRNA from 1 species
AAACCCCACAGCCACGCGAACUCUAAGUCAGCCACGAAUAGGCUAUCCCAACUAACGGCGGGAAAGACUCCACGGAGGGUGUAAGACCCGUGUGGGCGCGUGUCAAAGCUGUGCGGGCUCGGCCUCUUUUCCCUGAGAGUCGCGUUGCUUGAGCAUGCAGCGCUAAGCAGGUCGUAAACUCGAUCUAAGGCUAAAUAUCUCCACAGAACCGAUAGCGAACAAGUACCGUGAGGGAAAGUUGAAAAGCACUCUGGAGAGAGAGUCAAAAGACCGUGAAACCGCUCAGAGUAUAAGCCCAUGGCAGCUUGGAAGGCAUAUCGCUAGCGGGGCAUCGGUCUCCCUUCACGGGGAGCUGGUGUUACCUUGCUUCUGUUGUGGCUCGUUAUGGUAGGGGGGUCAAGUCCACAUCCCGCCGUCGUGUGGGGAGUUCUUGGGCGUGUCGUUGCUUUGCGGUUGACUUCGGUUGGCCGUAGGGCUCUUCGCGCUUGGUUCUCCUUUGGACACGGACGUUCAGACUCAGUUGCAAGACGCGAUAACCAGCCCACCACGGCACGUUGUGAGGUCACCCACAGGCUUGGCUUUCGAUUGUGGUCCUUGACGCCGAGCAAGCACAAUGCGUGUCGCAGAUGUUCCUAACCGGGCGAUGGGCCAGGAUCGUGGAACGACACGCGCUCAAAAGUCAGGACCGGGCGAUGACAAAGUUCUGGUAUGAUCCUCAUGCGACGAGCCGGCUUCUGGCCGAUUCCGAUGCUCAGGUCUCCCGCAUGUGCCGCGGGAGAUCGCUUUGGCGGUCUGGAUCUCAAAGAGUCCUCUCAGCCGGGCAACGGAAAGAGUGGUGUAAAGUCCAAGCCCAUCGGUCACGUCUCGAAACACGGGCCAAGGAGUAUAGCAUGUGUGCAAGUCUAAGGGUCUCACAAAACCCGAAGGCGAAGUGAAAGCAAGUAAGCGGCGGGU